AGUCUAUACACAUUACACGGCAUACACCCCCUCUGUCCUCUACUUCCCCUUUUCGUUCCAAAUAGCUAAAACAAUACAUAUCCCAAAAAACCCAAUUGACUUCCACAUUCCUUCUCCAUACAUACCUUCAAAGUCCAUCUCGUCUCCAACUUCUUUCCCGGCGUCCAUGGCUGACGAGUAACUGCAAGUUCUCUAAGGUCAACAACCACAAGGUUCACAACCAUGGAGACAAUGCCAGAGGUAGUUAAUGAGCUAGAAACACCCACAAACACAAGCUAAUGUGCAUUGUCAUCUAGUUGACAACAUCCCAAUUCUUCCUGAAACACAGGCUUUUAAGGGAAACAGGAGUACAAUCUGGAAGGAAUACAUGAAGCUUGACUCGUCAGAAACUAAAGAUAGGGCAAUUUGCAAACAUUUCAAGACCGCCUCUUUCAUCGCCAACUCACAUUAUGGAACUUCCAAUAUGAGAAAUCAUAUCCAGAAGUAUGAACAUUAUCUUGCAUACGUUCAACGUUCGAAUACUGACGGAAAAAUAAGUUCUAUUUACGACCAAAAGGUAUACAGGGAGUUGAUAUCUAUAGCCAUUAUAAAACAUGGAUAUGCCUUUUCUUGAGUCGAGCAUGAGGGUAAUAGGAAAAUUCAUGCAUAUUUGAAUCAUCAAGUAAGAAGUAUUUGUAGAAACACUGCUAAAGCUGAUUGUUUAAAAAUGCAUAAAAGUUUAAAAGUUAAAUUGAAGGAAACUCUUAGUAAUGUAUCUGGUCGUAUCUCUUUGACUUGUGAUAUGUGGACUUCUUGUCAAACUGAAGGUUAUUUGUGUCUCACUGCUCAUUAUGUGGAUGCUAAUUGGAAGUUAGUUAGUAAAGUUUUGGAGUUUUGCCACAUUGAUACACCACACACUGGAAAAACAAUGUAUAGUGCUGUGUUAGCAUUGAUUCAAGAGUGGGGUAUCGAAAACAAGAUAUUUUGUUUCACAUUAGACAACGCCUCUAGCAACGAUAAAAUGCAAAAUUAUUUGAAAGAUACAUUGAAGGGACGAGGUGCUUUGUUACACAAUGGUGAAUUUUUUCAUGUUCGGUGUGCUGCACAUGUACUGAAUUUAAUAGUUAAGGAUGGACUUAAGGUCAUUGAACAUGCUGUUGUCAAGGUUAGAGAUGGUGUGAAGUACAUUAAGUGGUCUGAAACAAGAAAAAUACUUUUCGCGAUUGUGUUAAAUUAGCAAAGAUAGGAGAAACUAAAUCGUUGUGGCUUGAUGUAGCUACAAGAUGGAAUUCUACAUAUUUGAUGCUUGAAAGGGCUUCUCUAUAUCGUGAGGUUUUUAUGGAAAUGGUUAUAAAAGACUCCUCUUUCAAACGUUUCCCUAACUUUGAAGAGUGAGAGAAUCUUCAAAAAAUUCAAGAUGUUUUGGAACCCUUCUCUGAUAUAACCGAGUUAUUUUCGGGAAGUGAUUAUCCUACCUCAAAUUUGUAUUUUGUGAAUGUUUGGAAGAUUCUUAUGGUGUUGACCGAUUUGACAGGAAGCAAUGACGAGGUAUUAAAACAAAUGGCAAUAGAAAUGAAUAUCAAAUUUGAUAAGUAUUGGUUCAACUCGGAAGAGGAUGAUUAUAGCAUGUAAUUUACCUUUGUUGUAGUUCUUGAUCCUCGUUGCAAGCUUUCUAUUCUGAUGUUUUGUUAUGAAAGUUUGUAUGGGAAGGCAGUAACUAAGUUAAAAGUUUCUGAUGUCACACGCAAGUUAGAGAUAUUUUGCCAGGAAUAUACCCCGGAAGGCUCCCUCCCACCUGAAACACAAGCACACCAUAUGACAAUCACAAGCGUAAAUUUGACUAUUUUGCAACAUAUGACAACAAUGAAGUCGUACCUACUUAUGCUGGGAGAUCACAAUUGCAAGCUUAUCUUGGGGAUGCUAAAUUGGAAAGAACAGCUAAGCUUGACAUCUUAAAUUUUUGGAAAGAGAAUGAGAACAAGUAUGGAACACUUUCUCAUCUUGCUAGAGAUAUACUCACUGUUCCCCUCACAACUGUGGCUUUGGAAUCAACUUUUAGUGUAGGAGGUCGAGUUUUGAAUAAGUAUAGAAGUUCCACUCUUCCUGAACAUGUGGGGGCUUUGAUAACAUCUCGUAGUUGGUUGGUCGGUUAUGAAAUGAUUGAAGAUGAUGAUUGUGUUGGUUCCUUUGUGGAUUGGGCUACACCAAAAUCUUGUUCAUAAUCAACCUGAUGUUAAUAUGGUACAUUAGCUAAUUGUUACUAAUUUGAUGUUAAUAUGAUACAUUAGCUAAUAUAUUGUUACUAAUUAGAGGAAGUAGCAUCAUACUGGAGUUAUGGAGAUGUGACUUAAGAAAUUUAGGGUUGAAUUACUCUGACUUUUGGACAUAAUAUUUUGGUAUAAGUUGGAAUAGAACAUUGCUUAUGACUUUGGUCAUUUGCUUAGUUACUUAUCAAUUCUUAUCUGAUAAGUUAUAUUCUAUGUCAAAAUGGAAAUCUUGAAGAUAUGAUUUUUAAAUUUAUUUACCAUGUGCUAAUGUUGGUUUUAUUUCCAUUAUUUUCUUAUCAUUUGUUGAAUGAUCUUAUUUAAAUGAGCCAAAAAGAAGAUAAGAAUUACUAAACUAACAUAUCGAAGGAAUUAAAGGUUGAUGUAUGAACGUGAGAACUCUCGGACUUUUCAUUGGCAGUGUUACGUUGUGAUAAAAGUAAGGUGGUGUUGGGACUUGGGCUGAGAUUCAGUAAUCCAGCAUUCACACAAUUAUCUUUCUUCGUUUUCCCACCUUUUCCUGCAUUACCUGUGUCAAGCCACAACAGCUUCAGGACUCUGUCUGCUCUUCUUACUAUUUUGAUUUCCCUUGUUGUUAAAAUUCGUCUCGUUAACAUUGUUUUUUACUGCCGCCUUUGGUUGCAGAAUCACUGGGCUUUAUGGAGUUUAGCUUGUCUUCAUUAUUUGGAUCGAGUACAUGUAUUGUAACUGUUUAUUUUUACAAAGUCGCAACAAGUUUGUACCUUGUUAAAAACCUAGCUUUAGGUUUCUAUUAAUACGAGGAUUAUACUUUGUGU